GAAAAGGUGGUGAACUUUGCCUGCACAGGUUGAAGUCAGGGGAAACUUUGAUGGAGGACCGUACGGGUUAUUGAUGUGCAAAUCAUUUUUCUGAUGUAGGUAAAGGUGCGAAAGACUCAUCGAACCACCUAAUAGCUGUUUUCCUCCGAAGUUUCCCUCAGGAUAGCUGUAAUGCAUUUAGUUAAGGGGAGUAGAGAUAUGGGUAGAGGUGCAGGGAGCCUUCGGGUUCUCAACUUAUUUCCAAACUUCGAACCUCCUUGUUAGGCAUUUACCUAACUGGAAAUGCUUAAAUGAAUUAGCGUUACAAGUGGGCUCUGACCGGUAAGCGGUCAUGGCGAAAUGGGAUGAACCAUACGUCUGAAUAAGGUGCCGAAAUGUACUAUCACUGAUACCAUAAAGGGAGUCCAUGUAUUUAGACAGCAGGUCGGUGCCCCUAAAAGCAGGUAUCCGCUAAAGAGUGUGUUAAAACUCACCUGCCGAAUACUAGGGCCCCGAAAAUGAAUGGCGCAUAUAGUACUACCGAUCUCAGACAUCAGUUCUAUUGAACUGAGAGUAGGGGGAUGUGGACAUUUUUGUGAAGGUGCAAUGUGAGUUGGACUGGAAGAAUGUCUAUUACAGAUCCUAAUUGAAGUAGCGAUUAUCCAGGCUUGUAUCCUGGGGGCUGAUGAGGAGUAGGGUUUCUGGACAACUUAAACAGAUCCAGAGUUAGUCGAUCCUAAUCUCAAUAAUGGGAGAAAGGGAGUACAGUUGAUAUUCUGUAACUGACAACAGUUCGCGGCAACGCAUACUAUUUUUCUCCGCCAAUCUUAUACCGUUGGUAGGGAUCUCUUUCCUACAUGACAGUACUAAUACCCAGGGAAACUGGUCAUCAGGCGAACUGCGGCGUUCUGCUGGCAAAACAUAGCUUCGGUUAUGUCAAUGGCUAUUGGAUUGGUCCAUGAAGCGAAAAAUAGUUUACUGUGUCACUCGUACCGAUAACCGCAUCAGGUCUUCUAGGUAAGUAGCCUAUGGCCAUUGAGGCAUGAUAUUCAGG
rnacentral:ncRNA from 1 species